ACACGAGUGUGCGUGCAACCAAAACUUACAAACACAAGAGAUAUUUUGGAUAAUGAAGACAAAUGUAUUUUUUUUUUUUUCAUUUUGUCAUCAUCGGCCCAGUAGCCAUAUACCUCCCACUAGGGAGAGAGAGACUAGGUUUGAACCUGGAUUCAUGAGAUGACAACAGGAGGGGGUGAUGUAUUAUGCUUAAUUAUGGGGUAUCAAGGGUUCCAAGGAUAUUUAUAUAUGGCACACGACACAAUAGUUGUUAUGGAGUAUCAAGAGUUCCAAGGAUAAUUAUAUAUGGUACACCGAAUCCCGGGUUCGAUCAACCCGCACUUGGGCAUUUAUAAAUAAACAGAACUGUUCCCAAGAACUUGAGGGGGUUUAAGUGGGAAAACCAACAAAGUUGAAGGUGAUUCCUUUGAUAGUUUGUGUAGCCGUUGUUGUGGAUAGAAUGGUGAAUGAAUCAAUAAACUGCUAGGCAGGACAUGGAAGGGACAACUAAUGCUGCAGGACCACAGUGGCCUAGUCAUCGCCUGUGCCAAAAUAUCGGUCCCCAAACUCUCCCAUACCAGGAAUUACAACUCUUCCUUAAUCCAUUAUCGAUUUCAGAUGUCACUAUCUUUAUUCUUGGGAAUUUUCGCAGACCACAUGAACAUCUUGAGGUGCCUGAUUGAACAAAGAAGAAAAAAUAUCGCAAUUCAGCUGCAUUAUUGUGGAUAAACAUGGAUAAGAAGUAACCACAAGGGGUGUGUGUUAGCUUACUGAGAUAAGGUUUAGAAGUAUGAUGUUUCCCUCAAGUACGCCCUUGUUUAUAAGAAGGUUGAUAGCUUCAGCCGCUGAGUUUCCGGACAAGAUCAUGUUCAAUUUCAGCAGGUGUCACUAAGCACGUCUUCAAGUGUGUUGAAUUGGCAAACAGUGUGCAGUAGAGCAAAGAGAAAAAUAUCUGGUGUGGAAGACCUUUACCAGUUGCUUUUCUGGUUGCUAAAUCAAAAUUAAAUCUUUUUAAUUUAGUUUAAUCAA